rnacentral:rRNA from 1 species
AUGCUCCUGUACAUAAUCCUAAAAUCGGGUUCGGUUGUUCACAGAACCGCCACAUUUGCUUUUGCAUAUGUAUAUGUAAAUUCAGCACAUUCCCAGGCAGUUUGGGGCUGCUAUUGUUAUAUGGAAUUCAUCAAGAAACAAGAUAAGCAGAUUUCUUGUGUAUCAUGCUUAUGUUGCAUGCUGGUCAUUUACUUGGCUUUGAAUUUUUUUUAUUUUUUAUUUUUGAAAAUAAGAAGGUGGUGCGUGGCCGACCUUAUAUUUCAAAAGAGUCAUAAGCCUGAGGAAGUACAGUUACAUGACUUGUGA